AUUUUUAUAUGACAGUGGGACCCACCUGUACCAAAGUCAUUACAAAUGACUUAAUUCACAUAUCAGACUCUCAUUUUCUCUCUUCUCAAUUACGUUCUCUCGCUCUAUCCUCUCAGUUCCCUUUUUCUUUUCUUUUACCAUCAUUUACAAGCUUGGUUUCUUCUCAUUAAUUGGAAUACUUGGAAGCCAUUUGUGGCUCUUCGAAGAGCACGACGAGGUCUACGCGGUUGUACCAUCAAUUUCAGCUUUUGGUCUCCCCUUGGCCUUCGAAUUUAGAGACCCAUUUUAAGGGUUUUGGGCAAUCUUAAGGUCAUGGCAAAGAAACGGCGGAUGACAAUCCUCCGCAAACUUGAAAGUUGUUAGAAGGUUGUUUGCUAUUUUGUAUUUUGACCAUUCUAUAUAUAUUCAUAGUUGUGGAAAUGUAACUAAGUUAGUAUUCAUGGCCUUGUAAUUUAAGAACGAACUUAUCUUUUGUUUAAUGUAAAUGAAACUAAUGGAAUCAUGGUAUAUAUUUCCAUGUAA